ensembl:snRNA U6 U6 spliceosomal RNA
UGCAAAAACCACAAUUACUUUUGCAUUCACCUAAAAUUGGAACGACACAGAGAAGACUAGCAUGGCCCCU